UGGACAGACUGCAAGAUGGGUAUAUUGU
rnacentral:piRNA from 1 species